rnacentral:lncRNA from 1 species
UAGUUAGUUGUUGUUCUCCUUUCUGCCCCCUGUGGUUUAGUAGUGGUCUCUCCCUCUGCCCCUGUAGGUUAGUUGUGGCCUCUCCCUCUGCCCCCUGUAGGUUAGUUGUGGCCUCUCCCUCUGCACCCUGUAGGUUAGUUGUGGUCUCUCCCUCUGCCCCUUGUAGGUUAGUUGUGGCUCUCCCUCUGCACCCUGUAGGUUUAUUGUGGUCUCUCCUCUGCACCCUGUAGGUUAGUUGUGGCCUCUCCCUCUGCCCCUUGUAGGUUAGUUGUGGCCUCUCCCUCUGCACCCUGUAGGUUAGUUGUGGCCUCUCCUUCUGCACCCUGUAGGUUAUUGUGGCCUC